GGAUUACCUCCCAUCCAUUGCAACAGUUGCAGCCCACAGCGACAGUUGAAAAUGAUCCUGAAAUAAAGUCUUGGCUUUCUUUGGGCACCAAGUCGAAGAAGAAAGGCGGUGGUAAAAAGAAGAAAGGUAAGAAGGGUGAUGCGAAGGACGACUCAGCUGAAGCUGAAGCCAUGGAUGUUGAGACAACUGAUAAACCUGAAGAAUGAAAAAUCACCUCAUCUCAUCCUGCUACUGUAGCGUUCCCUGG
rnacentral:misc_RNA from 1 species